rnacentral:rRNA from 1 species
UACGUAGGGUGCGAGCGUUGUCCGGAAUUAUUGGGCGUAAAGGGCUCGUAGGCGGUCUGUCGCGUCGGGAGUGAAAACUCAGGGCUUAACCCUGAGCCUGCUUCCGAUACGGGCAGACUAGAGGUAUGCAGGGGAGAACGGAAUUCCUGGUGUAGCGGUGAAAUGCGUAGAUAUUGGGAGGAACACCGGUGGCGAAGGCGGCUACCUGGACCGGUACUGACGCUGAGGCGCGAAAGCUAGGGUAGCAAACAGG